rnacentral:tRNA from 1 species
CCGACUUUAGCUCAGUUGGAAGAGCAUCAGACUGUAAAUCUGGGUGUCGCCUGUUCGAACCAGGCAAGUCGGA